rnacentral:rRNA from 1 species
UUGAAAGAUGGUUUCGGCUAUCACUUUAGGAUGGACCCGCGGUGCAUUAGUUAGUUGGUGAGGUAAAGGCUCACCAAGACCGUGAUGCAUAGCCGACCUGAGAGGUAAUCGGCCACACUGGGACUGAGACACGGCCCAGACUCCUACGGGAGGCAGCAGUAGGGAAUCUUCCACAAUGGACGAAAGUCUGAUGGAGCAACGCCGCGUGAGUGAAGAAGGUUUUCGGAUCGUAAAACUCUGUUGUUGGAGAAGAAUGUAUCUGAUAGUAACUGAUCAGGUAGUGACGGUAUCCAACCAGAAAGCCACGGCUAACUACGUG